rnacentral:rRNA from 1 species
UACGGAGGGUGCAAACGUUGCUCGGAAUCAUUGGGCGUAAAGCGCACGUAGGCGGCCUGUUAAGUCGGAUGUGAAAGCCCCGGGCUCAACCCGGGAAGUGCAUACGAAACUGGCGGGCUUGAAUAUGGAAGAGGGUCGCGGAAUUCCCGGUGUAGAGGUGAAAUUCGUAGAUAUCGGGAGGAACACCAGUGGCGAAGGCGGCGACCUGGGCCAAUAUUGACGCUGAGAAGCGAAAGCAUGGGGAGCGAACAGG